UCGUGGAAGACAAGGCCAGUCACGGUCGCC
rnacentral:piRNA from 1 species